rnacentral:tRNA from 1 species
GGGGCUGGGGCUCAGUGGUAGAGUGCUCGCCUAGCAUGUGUGAGGCACUGGGUUCGAUCGUCAGCACCA